rnacentral:rRNA from 1 species
CCUACGGGUGGCAGCAGUGGGGAAUAUUGCGCAAUGGGCGCAAGCCUGACCCAGCAACGCCGCGUGAAGGAAGAAGGCUUUCGGGUUGUAAACUUCUUUUCUCAGGGACGAAGCAAGUGACGGUACCUGAGCAAUAAGCCACGGCUAACUACGGUCUAGCAGCCGCGGUAAUACGUAGGUGGCAAGCGUUAUCCGGAUUUACUGGGUGUAAAGGGCGUGUAGGCGGGAAAGCAAGUCAGAUGUGAAAACCAUGGGCUCAACCUGUGGCCUGCAUUUGAAACUGUUUGUCUUGAGUACUGGAGAGGCAGACGGAAUUCCUGGUGUAGCGGUGAAAUGCGUAGAUAUAGGGAGGAACACCAGUGGCGAAGGCGGAUUGCUGGACAGUAACUGACGCUGAGGCGCGAAAGCGUGGGGAGCAAACAGGAUUAGAUACCCGUGUAGUC